rnacentral:rRNA from 1 species
UACGUAGGGUGCAAGCGUUAAUCGGAAUUACUGGGCGUAAAGCGUGCGCAGGCGGUUAUGUAAGACAGGUGUGAAAUCCCCGGGCUUAACCUGGGAACUGCAUUUGUGACUGCAUAGCUAGAGUACGGUAGAGGGGGAUGGAAUUCCGCGUGUAGCAGUGAAAUGCGUAGAUAUCUGGAGGAACACCGGUGGCGAAGGCGGCAUCCUGGACCAUGACUGACACUGAAAAGCGAAAGCCAGGGGAGCAAACGGG